CCCUUAGAUGUUCUGGGCUGCACGCGCGCUACACUGAUGCAUUCAACGAGCUUUCGAUCUUGCCCGAGAGGGUUGGAUAAUCUUUUUAAAGUGCAUCGUGAUGGGGAUAGAUUAUUGCAAUUAUUAAUCUUCAACGAGGAAUUCCUAGUAAGCGCGAGUCAUCAGCUCGCAUUGAUUACGUCCCUGCCCUUUGUACACACCGCCCGUCGCACCUACCGAUUGAAUGUUUCGGUGAAGAUUCCGGAUAGGACUUUUUUGAUUUAUUUCAAUUUUGUCUUAAAAGCUAUCUAAACCUCAACAUUUAGAGGAAGGUGAAGUCGUAACA
rnacentral:rRNA from 1 species